rnacentral:rRNA from 1 species
UACGUAGGGUGCAAGCGUUGUCCGGAUUUAUUGGGUUUAAAGGGUGCGUAGGCGGUUCUUUAAGUCCGGGGUGAAAGCCCACUGCUCAACAGUGGAACUGCCCUGGAAACUGGAGAACUUGAGUACAGACGAGGGCGGCGGAAUGGAUGGUGUAGCGGUGAAAUGCAUAGAUACCAUCCAGAACCCCGAUUGCGAAGGCAGCUGCCUAGACUGUAACUGACGCUGAGGCACGAAAGCGUGGGGAGCGAACAGG